AGGAUGAACGCUGGCGGUGUGCCUAAUACAUGCAAGUCGAACGGGCUCUUCGGAGCUAGUGGCGGACGGGUGAGUAACACGUUGGUACCUACCCCUAAGUGGGGAAUAACUGCCCGAAAGGGUGGCUAAUACCGCAUAAUCCCGCAAGGGUAAAGCAGUAAUGCGCUUAGGGAGGGGCCUGCGUCUGAUUAGCUAGUUGGUGAGGUAAUUGCUCACCAAGGCGACGAUCAGUAGCUGGAUCGAGAGGUUGACCAGCCACACUGGGACUGAGAUACGGCCCAGACUCCUACGGGAGGCAGCAGUAAGGAAUCUUCCACAAUGGACGAAAAGUCUGAUGGAGCAACACGCGUGCAGGAUGACGGCCUUAGGGUUGUAAACUGCUUUUUAUAUGGGAAGAUUAUGACGGUACAUAUGAAUAAGACCGCUAACUACGUGCCAGCAAGCCGC
rnacentral:rRNA from 1 species